rnacentral:rRNA from 1 species
GACGAACGCUGGCGGCGUGCUUAACACAUGCAAGUCGAACGAUGAACCGGAGCUUGCUCCGGGGAUUAGUGGCGAACGGUGAGUAACACGUGGGCAACCUGCCCCAGACACCGGGAUAACCUUCCGAAAGGAUGGCUAAUACCGGAUACGACCACUUCGGGCAUCCGACGGUGGUGGAAAGGAUUCUGGUCUGGGAUGGGCCCGCGGCCUAUCAGCUUGUUGGUGGGGUAAUGGCCUACCAAGGCGACGACGGGUAGCCGGCCUGAGAGGCGACCGGCCACACUGGGACUGAGACACGGCCCAGACUCCUACGGGAGGCAGCAGUGGGGAAUAUUGCGCAAUGGGCGAAAGCCUGACGCAGCGACGCCGCGUGAGGGACGAAGGUCUUCGGAUUGUAAACCUCUUUCAGCAGGGACGAAGCGAAAGUGACUGUACCUGCAGAAGAAGCACCGGCUAACUACGUGCCAGCAGCCGCGGUAAU